UGUGUGUGUGACUGUCUGUGUGUGUGUGUGACUGUCUGUGUGACUGCCUGUCCUUGUGUGUGUGUGUGUGUGUGUGUGUGUGACUGUCUGUCUCUGUGUGUGUGUGUGACUGUCUCUGUGUGUGACUGCCUGCCUGUGUGUGACUGUCUGUGUGUGUGACUGUCUGACUGCCCUGUAUGUGACUGCCCAUGUAUGUGACUGCCUGUGUGUGUGACUGUCUGUCUGUGUGACUGUCUGUCUG